ACUGGUCGAGUGACUCUGCGCCGAAAAUGUACCGGGGCUAAACGUAUCACCGAAGCUGCGGACUGUUCUUCGAACAGUGGUAGGAGAGCGUUCUAAGGGCUGUGAAGCCAGACCGGAAGGACUGGUGGAGCGCUUAGAAGUGAGAAUGCCGGUAUGAGUAGCGAAAGAGGGGUGAGAAUCCCCUCCACCGAAUGCCUAAGGUUUCCUGAGGAAGGCUCGUCCGCUCAGGGUUAGUCGGGACCUAAGCCGAGGCCGAAAGGCGUAGGCGAU
rnacentral:rRNA from 1 species